CUCAUUUAGUGAAAUGGAUGUGAUUCCUUCUCUCCUUCCACUGCCUGAGAAGGACUUUUCCCCAGUAGCCAAGUUUGUGUGCAGAUUUCUUGCAGCAGAAACGCCAGGCUCACGUGCUGCCUUGCCAUGGCUUGUGCCCUGAUUCAGGGGUGCCUCAGCCUUGCAAGCAUCCAGACUGCAAAAAGAAACACUGCUCAGAGAGGAGGGCAGAGUGGGGCUCGGGGGAGGUAACGAGACGAGGUAAAUGAGCUGUGUACCAGCUGGAGCAGAGCAGCAGAAGGUCCUGGGUGCUGCAGCCCUGUUCAAGAGCCAGGGACAGAGCAGGGAAGCACCAGGCAAGAGCAGUGGUUUGCAUCCCGUGGGAUGUCUCCGUAGCCUGGCUGCCCCAUGCUGCCUUGGUGUGCAUGCAGAGGGGCCCUGGCACUGCUGCUGUCCCCCAGAAUGCUUUGAAGGCACAAAGGAGGGUGUGUCUGCUCUGUCCCUUACCCAGGAGACCCAGCAGCAAAAUGGCUCUUGUGGCGCUGCAGCUGACUCUGUUCCUGCACCAAGACAUCUGCUCACGGCACCUGCAUGAAGAGAAAUGACAGGGACAAAACUCUUCCUUAUUGCCCAGUGGAUCACUUUUACAUAUGAAAUCUAUAAUCUUCAUCACGAGUAACCACUGCCUUACUAACAUACUAAUCUGUGUGCAGUGCAAGAAAGUGUGACCAGGAGGGGACAGGGUGCAGACAAGGCAGGCACAGGCGAGACAGGGUAGUAGCAGAAGGGAAAAAAGGGCUGGACUUUUCACAUUCUGGCUGGGGCAGUAAACUUAAAGGAAUGGCAAGCCCAUAAAAGUUUCACUUCUUUCUGGAAAAACAUCUGAAUUGAAACUUCACACCUGGCAUGAGUUUUCUGCAUGUCCCAGCCUCCUUCCGCCGCUGCUGGGGAGAAAUAAUGUGACUUUGGGUAAAUCCUGGUAGAUUCUGCUUGUAGUGCAGACUGUCCCUCGUGCAGUUUUAGUUACCUUGCUGCUGUUCAUGUUGCUGUACUUAAGGUUGUACCUGUGUUUCCAUUAGAACCCUUUUAAUCUGCAAAUUUAUGACCCAGCUGUAAAAAUUCAAUCCAGACUGAAACUUGGCAUGAACAGUGUUCACUCUCCCAUCUGUGGAAGGGAUUUAAGCAGGUACAUCCCAGUAAUAACCAUCUGAGUGAGGCUUGUAAAUUUGGAGCAUGAUGACUGGUGAAAAAAACUGUGAGCUUCUCAGUAGUCCUGGAGUCUGAAAUAUUUUAUGCCUGUGGUGAAACUAGUGAAAAGCAGCUUGUUUGUGUUCAGUCAUAUAGCUGUAAAUAAAGAAAAUGUUUUGGGUC